CAGACGUGUCCUCUUCUGUUAUCCUGACUACGCCGAGAGAACUUUUUUUUGAGGGGUCACAGCAGACGACGUGUCCACGCCUUAAUUUUCAAUAUUUUUCAAUGAAAAUUUCACAAACUACUUAUAAAAUAUGUAUCUUUUAUGUGUUAAAUUGAUGGAAUGAAAUAUUCUGUUGAUUAAGUAAAAAAAAAUUCAUAAAAAUGUA